UACGUAGGGUGCAAGCGUUAAUCGGAAUUACUGGGCGUAAAGCGUGCGCAGGCGGUUUUGUAAGUUUGUCGUGAAAUCCCCGGGCUCAACCUGGGAAUGGCGAUGAAGACUGCAAGGCUAGAAUCUGGCAGAGGGGGUAGAAUUCCACGUGUAGCAGUGAAAUGCGUAGAGAUGUGGAGGAACACCGAUGGCGAAGGCAGCCCCUGGGUCAAGAUUGACGCUCAUGCAC
rnacentral:rRNA from 1 species